rnacentral:misc_RNA from 1 species
GGAAGGAUCAUUACAAAUCAAGGGGGAGAAUUGAAGUGUUGGAAAGUGUGUGUGGGGUGGGGGAGGGGGGAGAAUUAAGAAUGAUCUUAUUUUACAACAAACCAAAAAAAAACAACUUUUAACAAUGGAUCUCUAGGCUCUUGCAUCGAUGAAGAACGCAGCCAAAUGCGAAAUGUCGUGUGACAAGCAUUCCUCGUGAAUCAUCAAAUCUUUGAACGCACCUUGCACCCGGUGUCAGUACCGGGUAUACAUGUUUGAGUAUCGCGAGCAGAUCAAUCACCGUAGGGUGAAAGCUGAGGUUUAGCUAUGUACACACACGUGUACGUAUUAUGCCUUGAAACGCAUGUGCUACGCAAGUGGCGCGGAGGGGACGGCAGUGGGAUAACUAUGUAUGUACGUAUGUCUACGGACGCACGCACUACGCACGAAUUCACUACAGUCCCCUCUCACCUUCUUUAUUAUACUUUACCGAUCUCAAAUCAUGCAGGAUCACCCGCUGAACUUAAGCAUAUCAGUAAGCGGAGGAAAAGAAACUAACCAGGAUUCCCGUAGUAACGGCGAGUGAAGUGGGAACAGCUCAAAUUUUAAAUCGCCGCGCACGAGAGUGGGUGUGCGAGUUGUAGGUUAGAGGGCAGGCCUGGGGCACGCACACGUACGCGGCACAAGAUCUCUGGAAGGAGACACCGGAGAGGGUGACAGUCCCGUGGGGGCCGGGUGGGCGUGUCCGGGUCAGGGCUGCCUGACGAGUCGGGUUGUUUGGGAAUGCAGCCCUAAAUGGGAGGUACAUGUCUCCUAAAGCUAAAUAUGGGCAAGAGACCGAUAGCGAACAAGUACCGUGAGGGAAAGAUGAAAAGAACUUUGAAAAGAGAGUUAAAUAGUGCGUGAAAUUGUUAAAAGGGAAACGAAUAGGGUGAGUGGGCGGGAGGCCGGUGUUCAGGGUAUGUGUGAGAACGGAUAUCUGGAUGCAGCGGCCGUCGGGUUGGCGCGGCUUGGGAUCGCUGGACAAGGUGCGCGGCAAAGUAGCUCUGACAUUUAACCGUUAGGGCAUUAUAGGCCGGGCACGGGACAGCGGCGACGAGCGGCACAUGCACACACACGUGUGUGUAUGUAACGCCAACAAAAUCACCCUAUCCGACCCGUCUUGAAACACGGACCAAGGAGUCUAACAAGGAUGCGAGUAUUUGGGUGGCAAACCCGGAUGCGGAAAGAAAUUGAGCAGCCGCGAAGCACGCCUGUACAGCAGGGGGAGCUGCAGCGGUGGCCGGUCUGGUCCCGUCGGGGUUGGAUUGCGCUGGAGCAUCGGUGUUGGGACCCGAAAGAUGGUGAACUAUGCCUGGACAGGGCGAAGCCAGAGGAAACUCUGGUGGAGGCUCGUAGAGAUUCUGACGUGCAAAUCGAUCUUCAGAUCUGGGUAUAGGGGCGAAAGACUAAUCGAACCAUCUAGUAGACAGUGAGUGAACUGCUAGAGAUAGUAGGACGACAAAAAUAGUAUUUAUUUUGUUGUUAUGCCUGCUAGUCGAGCAGCCUGCACAAGGGUGACAGGUUGGCUGCCGGCAAGGUGACCUGGUACGAGGGAGGCCUGGAAGGGUUAAUCUCGUGGCGAAUCAGUCAAGGGUGACUUUGACAAAGAUCGUCGUAACGCGCGGUAAGGCACCGGCUGGCUCAUGCGCGCACACGUGUAUGAGUUGGCUCAAGGAACGUGCUACUCCCAGACGAAAUACAAAAGUCUGCUUUGUACAUGGAGCACCUGUCAUGUAAAGGUACAAAGAAGGUACGGAAGAGGUCGGAAAUGGCCACUUCCAGUAAAUUAAGUUUACGCCUUGGUGGUGAGGAGCUGGUUCCCUC